ACUGGGCUGGGCACGGUGGCUCAUGCCUGUAAUCCCAGCACUUUGGGAGGCUGAGGCGGGUGGGUCACGAGGUCAGGAGAUCGAGACCAUCCUGACUAACAAGGUGAAACCCCGUCUCUACUAAAAAUACAAAAAAUUAGCCGGGCGCGGUGGUGGGCGCCUGUAGUCCCAGCUACUCGGGAGGCUGAGGCAGGAGAAUGGCGUGAACCCGGGAAGCGGAGCUUGCAGUGAGCCGAGAUUGCGCCACUGCAGUCCGCAGUCCGGCCUGGGCGACAGAGCGAGACUCCGUCUCAAAAAAAAAAAAAAAAAAAAAAAAAAAAAAGAGCAUUUUGAUG
rnacentral:lncRNA from 1 species